CAAAGGCUUCGGCCGGUAAAGGAUGGGGAUGCGUCUGAUUAGCUUGCCGGCGGGGUAACGGCCCACCGGGGCGACGAUCAGUAGGGGUUCUGAGAGGAAGGUCCCCCACAUUGGAAAUGAGACACGGUCCAAACUCCUACGGGAGGCAGCAGUGAGGAAUAUUGGUCAAUGGGCGCGAGCCUGAACCAGCCAAGUAGCGUGCAGGACGACGGCCCUAUGGGUUGUAAACUGCUUUUAUACGGGGAUAAAGUAUGCCACGUGUGGUUUAUUGCAGGUACCGUAUGAAUAAGGACCGGCUAAUUCCGUGCCAGCAGCCGCGGUAAUACGGAAGGUCCGGGCGUUAUCCGGAUUUAUUGGGUUUAAAGGGAGCGUAGGCCGGGUUUUAAGCGUGCCGUGAAAUGUCGGGGCUCAACCUUGACACUGCGGCGCGAACUGGAGUCCUUGAGUGCGCGGAACGUAUGCGGAAUUCGUGGUGUAGCGGUGAAAUGCUUAGAUAUCACGAAGAACCCCGAUUGCGAAGGCAGCAUACGGCAGCGCUACUGACGCUGAAGCUCGAAGGCGCGGGUAUCGAACAGGAUUAGAUACCCUGGUAGUCCGCGC
rnacentral:rRNA from 1 species